CCCUUAGAUGUUCUGGGCUGCACGCGCGCUACACUGACAUGUCCAGCGAGCUCCCAACCUGCUCGGCAAAGAAUGGGUACCCUUUUUAACGCAUGUCGUGAUGGGGAUAGAUUAUUGCAAUUAUUAGUCUUGAACGAGGAAUUCCUAGUAAGCACAAGUCAUCAGCUUGUGUUGAUUACGUCCCUGCCCUUUGUACACACCGCCCGUCGCUCCUACCGAUUGAAUGUUCCGGUGAGCUCUUCGGACUGCGCGGUCUGCAGUUUCUGCGUUCCGUGCGGAAAGUUGCGCAAACCUUAACAUUUAGAGGAAGGAGAAGUCGUAACA
rnacentral:rRNA from 1 species